GAUGAACGCUGGCGGCGUGCCUAAUACAUGCAAGUCGAGCGAACAGACGAGGAGCUUGCUCCUCUGACGUUAGCGGCGGACGGGUGAGUAACACGUGGAUAACCUACCUAUAAGACUGGGAUAACUUCGGGAAACCGGAGCUAAUACCGGAUAAUAUAUUGAACCGCAUGGUUCAAUAGUGAAAGACGGUUUUGCUGUCACUUAUAGAUGGAUCCGCGCCGCAUUAGCUAGUUGGUAAGGUAACGGCUUACCAAGGCAACGAUGCGUAGCCGACCUGAGAGGGUGAUCGGCCACACUGGAACUGAAACACGGUCCAGACUCCUACGGGAGGCAGCAGUAGGGAAUCUUCCGCAAUGGGCGAAAGCCUGACGGAGCAACGCCGCGUGAGUGAUGAAGGUCUUCGGAUCGGAAAACUCUGUUAUUAGGGAAGAACAAAUGUGGAAGUAUCUAUGCACGUCUUGACGGUACCUAAUCAGAAAGCCACGGCUAACUACGUG
rnacentral:rRNA from 1 species